rnacentral:lncRNA from 1 species
UCUAGGUCAUUUAAAAGUUGAAUAAUUUCUAAAGAAUUAUUUAUGGAAACAGUAGACUCAGAGGUCUUAAUAUUAUGUUUUUUAAAAAAACUAAAUUUUUCGAUUUGGUAAAUCGUGUUAAAAGACUCUUCUGGAAUACUCCAGUUCUGAAGAUUAUUUUCGAUAGUAGCAAUCGGAGUUGCUUUAGAAGAUAAGUUGAUAGUAUUUUUUGUAUGAAUGUUGGGAUUCAUAUUUGAAAAUACUGUCUAGAGACUGACUGGGAAGGCAAACAAUUUUCACCUAAGAAAGCAUAAAACGGUUAACAACUAUGAUACAACCUGUAAUAAAUUAAAACAAUACAUCAAAGGCUUAUGGGAUCUACAAUAGUCUUAAUGGCUUUAUAACAGACUUAUCUUAAGUGUUAUCUUAGUGACGGGACUACCAAUUAGGGUCGUACGCUUACCUAGGCUGAGACCACACUUUUCAGGCUGACCAACGUCUAAGACCGGAGAUUAAUCGGUUCCUUCAAACACUUCAGAGAAGACGAAUACCCCAUACUAAAAGUAAACCCCAUUAUAAGACAUCAUAUAUUAAAUUAAUUUAUUAAAAGUAUAAUCAUAGAUGAGUAAAGGUAAAUGCUUCUUAUACGAAAAUAGUUUAAUUUUCCCAUGCUCUAGACAGAUUAUGUACUUAGCUGCUCAUGCUGAGUACACAAUCUGCCAACAUGGCUUUGAUACCAGAAAACGGAUCGUGAAAACAAUAUUCAAAAUUAUAAAUGAAUCAAUAGGUAAAGUAAAGAAAAGGCUUAAACAACUUACAAAUUUAUUAUAACUUCAAUGAAAACAUUACAAAAGAGAUUACAAGAGAAUGGGCAAGAGAAAAUUUUCGAGAGUGGGUAAAUUAUCUGAUGCCUUCUCCUAGAUUACAAAUGAUCUUAUAUAGACCAGAGAAAUCUAAAUUAUACAUCAUGUGUAUACACUUGUAAGGCUUAGAUUUAAUCUUCUAAAAGUAGAUUCGUUUUAGAAGUGGAAAUGCUUUUUAGAAAAGCAGAUGGGCUGUCUUUGCUUUUAGAAAAGUAGAUGUGCUGUCUCCUUUAAUAAAGCUGACAGAUUCCUUUAGCCUUUAAUAAAGCUGGGUGAUUGUAGGUAGGGUCUAGUAGAUUCCCACUAGGAAUAGUAGAAUGCCCUUCCAAAAAAUAAUUCCGGUUCUUUGAACCUCUAUCUUUUGAAGGGGUCGUUUCUCUGUUCUUAGUAGGGGUCCAUGUAGGCCCUGGCAAUUCCUUUGGGAUUUAACUUAUCCCCAUUGUUGUCACUGCUGCCGGUGGAAGAGGCUUCUUCUAGAAGC